rnacentral:lncRNA from 1 species
GGUCGCCAUGGUUGGUUUGGAUCAGUAUAUCACCAAGAAUGCUACCUUGACAAACGAGAAGGAAGUUGAUGCCCAUCCUAUCCGUGCUAUGAAGUUCUCCGUCUCACCUGUGGUUCGUGUGGCUGUACAGUGCAAAGUUGCAUCUGAUCUCCCUAAGCUUGUUGAAGGUCUUAAACGGUUGGCCAAGUCAGAUCCCAUGGUUGUCUGUUCCAUGGAGGAAUCUGGAGAGCAUAUCAUUGCCGGUGCAGGAGAACUCCAUCUUGAGAUCUGUUUGAAGGAUUUGCAGGAUGAUUUCAUGGGUGGUGCUGAGAUUAUCAAAUCUGAUCCUGUUGUGUCCUUCCGUGAAACUGUCCUUGAGAAGUCCUGCCGUACUGUUAUGAGCAAGUCUCCAAACAAACACAAUCGUCUCUAUAUGGAAGCCCGACCAUUGGAGGAAGGUCUUGCCGAGGCAAUUGAUGAUGGUCGUAUUGGUCCAAGGGAUGAUCCUAAGGUUCGUUCUAAGAUUCUGUCUGAGGAAUUUGGUUGGGACAAGGAUCUUGCCAAGAAAAUCUGGUGUUUUGGUCCUGAGACCAUUGGUCCUAACAUGGUUGUGGAUAUGUGCAAGGGAGUUCAGUACUUGAAUGAAAUUAAGGAUUCAGUUGUUGCUGGGUUCCAGUGGGCAUCAAAGGAAGGUGCAUUGGCUGAAGAAAACAUGAGGGGCAUUUGCUUUGAAGUUUGUGAUGUGGUUCUUCAUGCCGAUGCUAUCCACAGAGGUGGUGGCCAGGUUAUUCCAACUGCUAGAAGGGUCAUUUAUGCAUCCCAGCUUACAGCCAAACCAAGGCUUCUUGAGCCUGUCUACUUAGUGGAAAUCCAAGCUCCUGAACAGGCACUUGGUGGUAUUUACAGUGUUCUUAACCAGAAACGUGGUCACGUUUUUGAGGAGAUGCAGAGACCUGGUACCCCACUUUAUAACAUCAAGGCAUACCUCCCGGUCGUUGAGUCUUUUGGAUUUUCCAGCACUUUGAGAGCUUCAACCUCUG